rnacentral:tRNA from 1 species
GACGGCGUGGGAACUGUCGGGAACAGACUGGCGCAGGACUUAAAAUCCCUCGGGCUUUAGCCCGUGCCGGUUCGAGUCCGGCCGCCCGCACCA